rnacentral:rRNA from 1 species
UCUGGGACAAGCCCUGGAAACGGGGUCUAAUACCGGAUACAACCACCGGCCGCAUGGUCUGGUGGUGGAAAGCUCCGGCGGUGAAGGAUGAGCCCGCGGCCUAUCAGCUUGUUGGUGAGGUAACGGCUCACCAAGGCGACGACGGGUAGCCGGCCUGAGAGGGCGACCGGCCACACUGGGACUGAGACACGGCCCAGACUCCUACGGGAGGCAGCAGUGGGGAAUAUUGCACAAUGGGCGAAAGCCUGAUGCAGCGACGCCGCGUGAGGGAUGACGGCCUUCGGGUUGUAAACCUCUUUCAGCAGGGAAGAAGCGAAAGUGACGGUACCUGCAGAAGAAGCGCCGGCUAACUACGUGCCAGCAGCCGCGGUAAUACGUAGGGCGCGAGCGUUGUCCGGAAUUAUUGGGCGUAAAGAGCUCGUAGGCGGUCUGUCGCGUCGGAUGUGAAAGCCCGGGGCUUAACCCCGGGUCUGCAUUCGAUACGGGCAGACUAGAGUGUGGUAGGGGAGAUCGGAAUUCCUGGUGUAGCGGUGAAAUGCGCAGAUAUCAGGAGGAACACCGGUGGCGAAGGCGGAUCUCUGGGCCAUUACUGACGCUGAGGAGCGAAAGCGUGGGGAGCGAACAGGAUUAGAUACCCUGGUAGUCCACGCCGUAAACGGUGGGAACUAGGUGUUGGCGACAUUCCACGUCGUCGGUGCCGCAGCUAACGCAUUAAGUUCCCCGCCUGG